rnacentral:rRNA from 1 species
AUUGAACGCUGGCGGCAGGCUUAACACAUGCAAGUCGAGCGGGGGAAGGUAGCUUGCUACCGGACCUAGCGGCGGACGGGUGAGUAGUGCUUAGGAAUCUGCCUAUUAGUGGGGGACAACAUCUCGAAAGGGAUGCUAAUACCGCAUACGUCCUACGGGAGAAAGCAGGGGAUCUUCGGACCUUGCGCUAAUAGAUGAGCCUAAGUCGGAUUAGCUAGUUGGUGGGGUAAAGGCCUACCAAGGCGACGAUCUGUAGCGGGUCUGAGAGGAUGAUCCGCCACACUAGGACUGAGACACGGCCCAGACUCCUACGGGAGGCAGCAGUGGGGAAUAUUGGACAAUGGGGGGAACCCUGAUCCAGCCAUGCCGCGUGUGUGAAGAAGGCCUUAUGGUUGUAAAGCACUUUAAGCGAGGAGGAGGCUACUCUAGUUAAUACCUAGGGAUAGUGGACGUUACUCGCAGAAUAAGCACCGGCUAACUCUGUGCCAGCAGCCGCGGUAA